rnacentral:rRNA from 1 species
GUUUGAUCCUGGCUCAGAACGAACGCUGGCGGCACGCCUAACACAUGCAAGUCGAGCGCACCUUCGGGUGAGCGGCGGACGGGUUAGUAACGCGUGGGAACAUACCCUUCUCUAAGGAAUAGCCACUGGAAACGGUGAGUAAUACCUUAUACGCCCUUCGGGGGAAAGAUUUANCGGAGAUGGAUUGGCCCGCGUUAGAUUAGAUAGUUGGUGGGGUAAUGGCCUACCAAGUCUACGAUCUAUAGCUGGUUUUAGAGGAUGAUCAGCAACACUGGGACUGAGACACGGCCCAGACUCCUACGGGAGGCAGCAGUGGGGAANCUUAGACAAUGGGCGCAAGCCUGAUCUAGCGAUGCCGCGUGUGUGAUGAAGGNCUUAGGAUCGUAAAGCACUUUCACCNGGGAUGAUAAUGACAGUACCUGGAAAAGAAACCCCGGCUAACUCCGUGCCAGCAGCCGCGGUAAUAAGG